rnacentral:lncRNA from 1 species
AAUCAUGCUACUUCCUUGAACUACUGCUUUAAGAAAACCAACAGGGUGAGUAUGAUAGCAACAGCAGCUGACACUCAGUGUGACAUACAAAAGAGGGAAUAAGGGAGACAGUGAAUGAAGACUACAAGCCCCCUCUAGUGGGGACGGCUGCCACCCAGCACCAGCACUGUCACCAUGUGGGAACACUGACUUGUGCAGCCACAUAGUUCUGUUUGCAAAAAAUCCAGGCGUUUGUGUUAUUCCAUCUUCCAUCCUAUUCUGAAAUGUUGAAUUGGUUUGAACACUGUGGGCCCCUACUGAUGGGCUGAACUUUCCCAGAGGAGCACACGCCACGCCUCCUGUACACUCAAAUGUUGUCACGCUUCGCUAAAUAUUUGUAUAAAUAAAGUAGGAAGAGGGUCAUCUGUUUAGUUCCCUUUUCCUAUGAAAUAUAGAAAUACAUACAUAUUUACAAAUACACACAGGUUAUAUAUGUAUAAAACAAAUUCGGAUUAACCCAGUAGUGUGCAGGACUCUACCAGGCCCCGUUCAAUCUCCCGUCCCCAACAGCCCUGACCCAGGAGCAUGUUCAAAAAGAAGCAACUCAGAUGCAAUAUAACAGCUGCCCCUCGAGGUGAGACUUGAUUUAGAACUCCUAUUUGAAGCCAUUGCUUGCUUCCUCUGUCCACAGCUUCUUAGUCCAUGGACUACAAGAAGUGACUCCUGCUCAGAAGCCACUCGGACUUCCUGUUCCCAUGUGUCUGACUUCUGGCCUCCCUAAAAGAGGGCAAGUGGAUGUCACUGAAGUGUCUGUAGGAGUUGAGGUCUGGGCCACAGGACCCGGGAGCUCCAGAAGACGAGAGAGAGAUCAGCAGAAUCCACAGGAGCUCAGAGCACCUCCAGCAGAGUGGGAGAGGAGACGCCAUGCCAAAAAAAGAAUGAAUGCGCCAUUUCCGCGGCCCCACUGGGAACAUGGUUCAAGAUGUGGCGAUGUGGCGAGCACCCUGGGGCGGCUCCCUGGGUAACAGUCAGGUCCCUCCUGGGCUUCCGUCCGCAGCCGCAGCAGCCGCCAUGACGGCGGCCCCAGGAGGUCGGGGACGGCGGGUUUCCGUUAACGGCGAGGACGGUCUACACUGGAGAGGAGACGGUGGCGCUCACCAGGGCUGGGCUAACGUGAGUCUGUGUCUUGGGGUGCCUCACCUCCAAACACACACGGAAUACACAUCUAUGUGCCUGCUCAGGCUCUGCCUGACUUUCUGGAGAGAACCCACCUCACCUCCGCUGAGAACCCUUCAACUUCCCACUCAGGAUCAUGGAAUCCUCAAAGCGCAGAGAGCAGACUGGCAAAUGACAUCUGGAGGACAGGGUCUUUGUUCACAGGAGGCAGGGAUGUCUGCAGUGCCUACUGCUACGCUAAUGGAUUCUUCCAGAAAUGUCAAGGUGAGGCUGAGGAUGCCGCGGCUCCCCCGUGCAGAACCCCUGACCCAGCGUUCGCAGCUCCAGGAGUUUACCACGGGAAAUCAGCUCACUCCUGCCAGCCGUGACUUUGCCUCCACUUGCAAGGACAUCCGGCUGACUUUCUCCAGGAUUUAA